GUAAAUUUAGGGUUUUCACUAUUAAUUCACAAAUUCAUCAUGGUUUCAAGGUUUUGAUCCAUACCAUCUGAAAAGAGUUGAAAGGAGAAGAAAUUGACUACAUAAGGUAAUGGACACUAAGUACGUAAAUUUGAGGUUUCACAUCGGUGGUAUACUUGUGAGUGAGGUAGGACCUGUUUAUAUUGGGG